rnacentral:misc_RNA from 1 species
AUAAACCGCCAGUGAUAAGUGGAAUGCCAUGUGGGCUGUCGAGUUCCCGGCGCCAGCCGGG